AUACGGAGGAUGCAAGCGUUAUCCGGAUUUAUUGGGUUUAAAGGGUGCGUAGGCGGGAAGUCAAGUCUGUGGUGAAAAGUUCGGGCCUAACCUGGAUCGUGCCAUGGAAACUGUCUUUCUUGAAUAGUGGUACCGUUGGCGGAAUGUGAAGUGUAGCGGUGAAAUGCUUAGAUAUUACACAGAACACCGAUUGCGAAAGCAGCUGACGAACCACCGAUUGACGCUGAUGCACGAAAGUGCGGGUAUCGAACAGGAUUAGAUACCCUGGUAGUCCGCACAGUAAACGAUGACAACUGGCUGUUGGCGAUAUACCGUUCAGUAGCGUAGCGAAAGCGUUAAGUUGUCCACCUGGGGAGUACGACCGCAAGGUUGAAACUCAAAUGAAUUGGCGGGG
rnacentral:rRNA from 1 species